rnacentral:lncRNA from 1 species
UCUCAAGUUUAGGCAUGACUGUUAUGAAUUAAGAUUUGCUCUAAACCUGAACUUGUGGGAAGAAUACUUUGAUCUAAAGUCUAAGUUGUUAACGGAUAUGAUAUGGGAAGGCUGCUACUGUUUAUCUGUUUCUAGAGAUGCUAGAAUUCUGGAGAAUUUUAUCUUUGAAAAUCUUUAAAAUAACACAUGAUGGGUUCCUAUAUGAUGAGAGUUUAAAAUCCUACCACAGCCAUAUAUACAUGCUUGCUAGACUUUGAGCCACACAUUUACUUUUUACUGCUUAUGAGCAUUGAGUGUGGUCAAGCUGUGUAGACCCUUAUGAGCUUGUCAUGUGGUUAAAUCAAGAUUCACUUGCACGUUCACUCACACAUGCUGCUUCUACUCCGGAAGUACGCAUCCAUAUACAUCCACUCAAUUCAAUCUCCAGAUUCACCUAAAAUUAUUCUACCCCUAAUCCGGGAGAGAAUAGCCAAAAAUAUUUUCCUAUCCCUGUUAUUCCCUGUGAAAUAAAUGCUCGAGUUAUCUUGGUUAGUACCACUUGCUAUAUUAUUUCAGGAGAUGAGUGCUCUAAAAAAAAGAAAGGAAAAAAAUGAAUACGAGGAAAUAAAAAGGGGCAAGUGCUCGGAAUCUUGAAGAAAAUAAAAAGUGAGACGAGAGGUAAAAAUGGACAAGUGUCUGACAAUAGAAUUAGGGGUACAAAGAUACCCACCUGAGAAAAAAAAGAGAGAAAAAUAAAAUAUAGAGAAUCUCAUUCUCCUCAAAAAGCUUCAAAGUGCAAGAAAGGUAUGUAUCCCCUCAAAAAAGCAAAAGAAUUAGACUUUCACCAUUGUUAUCACCAUCAUCACCAUACACCAUUCACUCGCCACACAUGCACAUCUUGAUUUGACUUAUUGACUUGUGUUGACACUAGCUAACACCACUUAGAUACUAGGUUGUCAUCCCUAGCAUGGCGCCAGAGUGUACAAAGAUCAUAUAAAGUAAAUCUACUCUAGUUAUCUACAAGAUCAUAUAUAGCAUAAAAGACUCUUCAUUCAUGUAGACAUUGAUAAAGUAAAUCAGAGCAUCGCAUGAUUUACUACACAAUACCGGUUCUGCCUGUCCUAUCAACGGAGGGUGGACUAUAUAAGAAUCAACGAAGCUGUCACUAUCGCGAACUACCACACGACCCGGCCAAUAGGAUCAUUUGCAGAUAAAUAACAUCUAAGCACCACGCUCACAUGUGAUCUAUCACCUAACUCCCUCGCGUCAAGAGCUAAGCGCUUUGCAAACUUAUACAUAAACUCAUUAUCAAUCAUAACUAUAUCAAAUAUAGAACUAGAGCAAACUAAGAACAUAAUAAUUAGAGACAUAAUGCAAUUAGAACAAAGAAUUAGAGAAAGAUAUGAAUAAUACCAAUCUUUAUUACUGAAGAUCCGAAUCCAGAGCGUAGUGCUCUACUUCUCUAAUUGCUAUCUAAUCAACCUCUAAACUUGAAAGAUUAGAGAGUAGCUAAUUCUAAUUCUCUGUGGGAGAGAAGCUCUAAACCCUAACUUUGAUGGCUACCUCUGAAUAAUGAUUUCUCCUCCUCUCCUCCAGGGGCCAGGGGGUCUGGUUUUAUAGUCCCCUCAAGUGAACGUGAGCCAUUGGAUCAAACCGACAUAGAUUUUAUGGUUUAGAUUGAUCCCUUAGGUCGGUGGAGUCUUCCCCCGAAGCAGAGUCCUGUUUGGAAUCCAACCCUGGGCGGGCGCCCAAGGGGGUGGGCGGGCGCCCUGCCCCCGAGCCCGAAUCCCUUCUCGUUCGUUCCCGUGGCUUUUGGACCCUUCUAGAUUGAGGAAAAUUGCGCGGCACGUAAUUAUCUCGUUGUAAACAUGACAUGUGGGCCUUCUCUCCAUAAUUCCUGAUAAACCCCUGCAGAAAUAGAUAAACACCAAAACUCGUGGAAUUCUGUCAGAUAAAACCCUAAUUCUAGAUGUUUGUUUCAUAUUGAUCCUUUUUCAUGUUUAUUUGAUUAUUAAUUUUAGUACUUAAGGACCGUCAACAAACUCCCCCAAGCUUACCCUUUGCUCGUCCCUGAGCAAACAGCUAAACUCAGACGGAUCAGGAGUUGCUUCGAUGUUUUCUUUCCUGACAGGCACACAUGCUUUUACAUAAAAAUUCUUCCAGAUUAAAGUGAAGUGUUGUGGAGUUUAGUACCUGCACUUAAAUCUUAAGUAAUCGAAAGACAAAAUAGUUAAGUCAAGCACUAUCCCUCCUGUUUAUACUUCACCUUUGUUCCAGAGUUUUUCAUAGGUUUUCAAAAUAAAACUCAGAGUUCCCAGCAAUGAUUCUCUCAAGUCUCUCUAUAUGUGGUAUUUGUGGAUCCUUACCAUAAUGUCACUUACCUAUAACUAAUGAAAUAUUUAAGUGGAGCUCAUAGGAGUGAAAAACAGCUCAUACAUAUGUUGUCUAAUCGAGCCAUGGAUCCAAAGGAACCCAGCAUAUAAUUAAAUCAAGAUGUGCAUGUGUGAUGGAAUAAAUGAUAAUGAUGGUGAAAAUGCAUAAGUGAUAAUAAAACUUACUUCUCAUUGCUCCUCAUAUUGCUAUUUCUCCUCCUCUUUGAUCUUUGCUUUGGGAGAACAUGGGCUAUCUCUUUUUUUUUCAGGUGGGUAGUAGAUACCCCUAAUUCUACUGUCGGACACUUGUCCAUUUUUUCCGCUCAAGUGGGCAUCUUUGUACCCCUAAUUCUACUUCGGACACUUGUCCAUUUUUACCUCUCGUCUCACUUUCUUUUCUUUCUUUUUUUUCUUUCUUUUUCAAGGUUCCGGGCACUUGCCCCUUUUUAUUUCCUCGCAUAUUUUUGCAUAACCCAUGCCUCUUCUGCAUUGAAUCUUUUUAGAGAGAGAAUAACAAUAUUCGGGACAGUGAGUGAAAAUAUUUUUAGCAAUUUUAAUGAUUGAUGAUGGAUGCUGUGGUAGAUGUGUGCAAGUGAAUAUCUUAAUUUAACCACAUGAAAAGCUCCUAAGGGUCUACACAGCUCGAUCAAACUCAAUGUGAAUAUAGUAAAAGAUGUUAUAGCAAGUAUGGCUGUGGUAGGUAGUUUGUUAUGCUAGGAACUCAUCAUGUGAUUUGUAAGUUUUCAAAAUAAAUCUCCAGAACUUAGUGUAGUAGGAACAAGAUAAACAGUAGCUCAACUUUAUAUCAUGCCUUUCUCUUACCUAGACUUUAGUUUUAUGCUUCCCAAAGAUUUUAGUUUUAGUAAUUCCUGGAAGAAUUCUAAUAUAAAAGCUAGGUACUUGUAAGUAAGCAAAUAGAGCAACUUGUUCAUCAUUUCCAUCAUGCAUCUUUUUGGUCUUUUUAUUUUUCUAGAGUUUAAACUUAGCAGGAAAAUAAAGCACACUUAUCUACACACUCUUUUUAUUUUGUUUUCAUGUUUAUUAAAGUGCAGUGAAUUAAAGCAAGAAAAUAUUUAUUUGGUUUUCUAAGUUUUUCCUUUUAAGAUAAAUUAAAUACUAAGACAGAAUAGAAUAAAUAAGAAGAGCAAAUAAAAACUUACUUGAUAAAUUGGGGAGGAACUCCCCCAAGCUGGAUGUUGACGUCGGUCUUACCCGAUGUUCCAGAACCGCAUCAUGGUUGUGAUGUUGUCGUUCAUUGUUGUUGUAUCUUGUCUCAGCUCUUCUACUGCAGCUGCAUGGUCCUGGUUCUAUUUUUGUUGCUCUUCCAGGAGUCUUCCAUGUUCUGCUUGCGUGUUCUGGAUGUCGAGGAGGGUGUUGUCGGUGCGAGUGAAGAAAGCACCGGCCUCUUGAUAGUAGUCAUUCGUGAAAGCGUAGGAGGCGUCGGAGUAUCGUCCUGCAUCAAAUUGGGGCGGAGGUCUGGAUCCUGAAGCUCCAUAUGGAUCAGUGGAGUACCUGCCCGUAUGAAAAGGCAAGUUUGUCCACUGGUCAUCUUGGCUCUCCGGCCAUGUCUCUUCUGUUGGCUCUUGUGGUUGCGCAUGACGAACCCAUGGGUCUCGAAGGACUCGAGGGUUGUAAUCGCAAUAAUGCAGGUGCGCUGCUUCUUCUGGUCCAGGGUCAGCUCUAUACCAGGUGCGUUCUCGGUUGGUGGUCACCCUUUCAGAUGCCACUCGCUGUGGAGCUCUCUGGUUUACUGGUGUUGCUGCAAGCUCAAUCAAAAGAUUUUGCACAACGUAUAGGCCAAGGUUGGGGUUAGGUUACCGAAUCUUGCCUUUAUCAUCAUAUAGCAUAUACAUUACAUUUCCCUCUUUCUUUAACAUCCGAGCUUGUCUAAAUGUGUCAUAGCCAUGAUAAAUUCUUAACUCUUCUAUGAAAUCCAACAAUGAGUUUUCUAGUAAGUGAAGAUUAGUGGCUAGACGAGUGAUAAGUGAAGUACAUCCUACUAGUCCCUGAAGACUAGGUAUACUAAGCCAAUGUGAAACUAAUAGUGUAACAGGUGAAGUGGGUACUUUACUAAUAGCAGCAUAUAAAAGUUGUAGAUCUCCUACUCUUACUUUCCUAAUAUCAUCACGAUAGAAAAGAUUGUACCCAAGCCAUUUGUGGAACAUCCUAAGAGUGGGGUGCCAUGUCACUGGUUCGGGCUUGACUAUAAAAAUUAUCUCUAGAUAUUUCUCUCCAAAACUGGUGUCUCUCAAAAUUGGGUAAAUCGGAGUCAAUGUUCAGGAUGCAUCUUGAAGAGAAACCAAGAUGGUCGCUCAGCUCUCUCCAAGACAACGUAAUUUCCUGUUUGAACAUCCGAAAAACAAUUCCCCCCUCAUAGUAUUGUAAAGUGCAAAGAAAUUCGAGGGUGAGAAGACGAGAACCCAGCUCAGUUAUAUUCCAAAAAUUUGUCCAACCCAUCAUCUGAAAAAUUAAGUCAAAUUCAGUGUCCAUACAUGUUUCUUGUAGUAGGAUUGGAUCGAGAGUAGGGGUAUGAAUGAAAUCUUUGUUCUUCAACUGCUGAUAGACUUCCUUCUCCCUUUGGGUCUUCAGUCCAAGGUCUCCUAUCUUGAGAAGGACCUUAACUUGCUGACCCGAUGAAGAUGACGGAGCUUGUGUGGGUGUCGGGUCGACGCUCAUCUCUGAUGGCUGUGAGGAGUGUCGGGAUGAACUCCUUGUUCCAAUGUUCUUGAGAGCCUUCCCUGCAUUCUUCACCUUCUUAAACAUCCUGCAAACAACAGUUGGCAAAAACACAACUAGUGGAAAAAUGUGAGAUAAAAUGUUAGUGAUCAGCUGUCCGGGGUGUCAGUAGUCCAGGGGUUAAUCGUUCAAGACAAGUUUCUAUUUUGGUAGAGCCUCCCCCUAAACAACUUUUACUUCCGCUUAGACAACUACUUACUAGGUGAUAAUCACUCUCUCAAAAGAACUCCAACCUUCCCUUCCACUCUCCUCUUUCUCUCUACUCUCUUCUCUUCACUACAAGAACUCCUUCUCGGGAAACUGAGGCUUGUGUGGUUUUCUGGAGUGUUUGUGUGAAGAGAAGGGGAGCUGGAGGUGGCCUUUUAUAGGAGGAAGAGGGGACAGGGCGGGCGCCCUUGGUAGGUGGGCGGGCGCCCACUUGUGAUGCCCAUCCUGGCUGCCCUCUCUCCACUUGCUUCCUUGUUUUGAUCUUACGCAAAAUAAUGUUGUGUUGGUAGUGGUUGGACGGUGGAAAGAUGUCAGGUGAGUGAAAACAUGUUGGUGGAUGAAAUUAUGUGAUGGGAUGUAUGUGAGGUGAAGUGUAUGACAUGUGGGACCCAGGGAGUGUGGGUCAUGCUUCUAGAAGGUUACUAUAAUUAAAUAUAAUGCAAGAAAAAUCUAUGAGAAUUGAAAAUUGAAAUGAUAAUGGAAUAUAUAUUUUUGUGCCUCCACAAUAAUUAAUAAAUAUGGGUUGUUACACACCACGAAUAUUAUUUAUAUAGGGCUUUUUAUUAUUAUAAUAAUGCUAUGAAUAAAUGUGACUAAUGCAAGAAUUAAUUAUACAAGAAUUUAAAUAUGAGAAAAUUAAUAAUGCGAAUAAAUACUGAUUUACCUCCCGACGAAGGUUUGGGAUUUUUAGGUCCCCCAAGCUGGACCUCCAAUUCUUUUAAUCUUCUGAGUUACCUUCCUCCGGAGAUGGUGUCUCCAGUGGUUCUUCAUGAACUUCCUUCACUGUAGAGUCUCUCUCUGGUCUGGGUUUGAAUGUGAAGUGUUCUUCUUGACCGUUUAUGUUGAACUUGAUUUCUCCAUUUCCGACAUCAAUGUGGGCAUUGGCAGUGCUCAGAAAUGGCCUUCCAAGGAUGAUGGACACUUUUGAGUCAGGACUCAUGUCUAGUACUACAAAGUCUACUGGCACCAGGAAAUCUCUGAUCUUGACUGGAAUGUUCUCGGCGAUACCCAACGGGUGUCGAACCGAUUGAUCCGCUAAUUGCAAGCACAUUGAUGUUGGUUCUAGGGUCGCAUGCUCAAGCUUUUUGUAGACUGAUGCUGGCAUCACACUGACACUUGCUCCGAGAUCACAAAGUGCAUUGUUGAAGUGUUGGUUUCCGAUUGAGCAAUCAAUAGUGGGGCAUCCGGGGUCUUUCUUCUUCUUUGGUGGUUUAUUGAGGAUGGCCGCACUACGUUCUUCUGUCAGCUUGAUAACCUCAGUGGUGGGCAGUGGUCUCUUCUUGUUAAGAAUAUCUCUAAUGUACUUUGCAUAUGUAGGUACCUGUAUGGCAUCGAGCAGAGGUAUGUUGACAUAUAAUUUCUGAAUGACCUCUACAAACUUACCAAACUGCUCAUCCGACUGCAGUCCUCUGUUUCUUCUGGGAAAUGGCAAAUAGUUGGUGUCGUAAAAAUCUUUCCUCAUUUCUCUAGUUCUUGGUGGUUGUAGCAGAUCUUCUGCUUCAACUGGGCUUUCUUCUUCUAUCACUGCUGGUUGCACUGGUGCUGAUGUUCUUUGUUUCUCUUUUGGGUAUGGUGGAUCUCUGGAAGCUUUGCCUCCUCUAGUAGUUAUAUUCUUUACCUGCUCAAUGUUAGUAGCAACAGGCAGUGCAGCAGCUAAUUUUAUUAAUUUAAGCUCUACCCUUUUAUUAAGAGUGUUUUGCUCAUCAAAGGCAGUUAGUAGAAAAUCCAUUUUAUUGUGUAUAUCUUUUAGAGAUGAUUCAUUUGUAUCUAGCCUUUGUUUAACUUCAUCAUUAAUUUUGGUUUGUUGAGCAAUUAUCUCUUUUAAUGAAAGUUGCUUGAAAGUAUUACCUGAAUUCAUACCUUUGCUAUUAGGUUGACUUGAAGUUGGUUGAUAUUUGUAUGCUGUCUCAAUGGCCCUUUGAUCUUCUUUGAACUUGGCCCUCUGGUCAAUCCAAUGGAGCAAAUUUUCCAUCUUAGUUGAUAAUGCAUUUACUUCUUCUGGUAUUUCUUCAGUUUGAUGACAUUGUUGAGCUUUAUCUUGGAACCAACUUUGGUUUUCUGCUAUCUUAUCCAAAAGUAUCUCUGCUUUUCCAGUUGUAAGCUCGAAGAAUGAUCCUUUAGCAGAUGCAUCUAGGCACUCACGAGCCAUCUGGGUUAAUCCAUGGUAGAAGGUCUGCAUAAGUAACCAUGUGGCCAUUCCAUGGUGAGGACAUUCUGAUAUGUAUCCUUGAAAACGCUCCCAUGCUUCUGAAAUGGCUUCUGUCUUCUGCUGUUGGAAACUGACAAUAUUUCCUCUUAAGGCAGUUGUUUUGCCUAUAGGGAAAAACUUUGAUAGAAAAGCAUCUGACAAAUUCAUCCAGUUGUUGAUGUUAUCUUGAUGAGUGUAGAACCACUUCCUCGCUUUUCCUUCUAGUGAGAAUGGAAAAAGGCGAAGUAGUAUGACGUCUUUGUCAACUCCGUUGAUGUGGAUUGUGCUUCCAAUCUCUAAGAAAUUCUGCAAGUGUGCACUGGCAUCUUCAUGUGCCUUUCCACUGAAUUGUGUAGCUUGUACCAAAUUGAUGAGGCUUGACUUGAGCUCAAACUCGGGUAUUCCUUCUUCUACUGCAAAUCUUGGACCGGUUGGAAUGUUGUCAAGACUUGGAGCAGAGAAUUCUUGCAAGGUCUUUUGUGCCAUAGCUUCAGCAAUUGGUAGCUAGCUUCUUCUUCUCUAGAUUGCUUUGGUUCUGAUGAUGAAGAGUUGAAUGUACCCAAAGUCAAUCCUGUUAUACCCUGUAUAAAAAUAUAAACAUAGAAAAACAACAGGGUGAACCUGCCAAAGCAGCGGUGCCUUGUUAUGAUUUCUCACUUAGUAGCUGUUUUUAUGCAAUUAUUUCUCUAUAGUCUAGUCUAAUAUUUUAUGUGAAUAACCUUGAUUGAUUUUCUGGCUUCCCUUACCGUUCCUAUUUAUGACUUAUUCCUGAGACUCGUAUAAAUCCCCGGCAACGGCGCCAGAAAUGCUUGUUGACACUAGCUAACACCACUUAGAUACUAGGUUGUCAUCCCUAGCAUGGCGCCAGAGUGUACAAAGGUAUUUAUAAAUGUAAAGGCUCUCUAGAAAAUAAUGUAUUCUAUCUGCAAGCGCACAGAUAAAACACCUCAUUGUAGCAUUUCACCAGGAUAAGUAUUCCAGGUAUCGUUAUUUAUAAUUUUGCUCAAGGGAUCUCAAGAAGAUGAAAUUAAAUCAAGGGGCAAAAUCUAUCAAGGCAUAGACUAGAGAUAAACUUGCAAGAACAUGAUUACUAAUGAGAAACUCGUCACACAGUCACAUACUUUAGCAGGGGGUGAACCAUAAAGAUAAUGAUAACGAAUUAUAAGUUCAUGGGUAGAUAACACAGUGAUUAGAAAAUAGACUACUCCUCAUAUAUGUAGGUGAUGUCGGAUUAGCUAGAGAAUGGAUUCUAAGUUAUCUACUAACUACUAAGUCAUAAUCUACUCUAGUUAUCUACAAGAUCAUAUAUAGCAUAAAAGACUCUUCAUUCAUGUAGACAUUGAUAAAGUAAAUCAGAGCAUCGCAUGAUUUACUCCACAAUACCGGUUCUGCCUGUCCUAUCAACGGAGGGUGGACUAUAUAAGAAUCAACGAAGCUGUCACUAUCGCGAACUACCACACGACCCGGCCAAUAGGAUCAUUUGCAGAUAAAUAACAUCUAAGCACCACGCUCACAUGUGAUCUAUCACCUAACUCCCUCGCGUCAAGAGCUAAGCGCUUUGCAAACUUAUACAUAAACUCAUUAUCAAUCAUAACUAUAUCAAAUAUAGAACUAGAGCAAACUAAGAACAUAAUAAUUAGAGACAUAAUGCAAUUAGAACAAAGAAUUAGAGAAAGAUAUGAAUAAUACCAAUCUUUAUUACCGAAGAUCCGAAUCCAGAGCGUAGUGCUCUACUUCUCUAAUUGCUAUCUAAUCAACCUCUAAAUUUGAAAGAUUAGGGAGUAGCUAAUUCUAAUUCUCUGUGGGAGAGAAGCUCUAAACCCUAACUUUGAUGGCUACCUCUGAAUAAUGAUUUCUCCUCCUCUCCUCCAGGGGCCAGGGGGUCUAGUUUUAUAGUCCCCUCAAGUGAACGUGAGCCAUUGGAUCAAACCGACAUAGAUUGUAUGGUUU